rnacentral:rRNA from 1 species
GUGGGGAAUAUUGGACAAUGGGCGCAAGCCUGAUCCAGCCAUGCCGCGUGAGUGAUGAAGGCCUUAGGGUUGUAAAGCUCUUUCAGUGGGGACGAUAAUGACGGUACCCACAGAAGAAGCCCCGGCUAACUUCGUGCCAGCAGCCGCGGUAAUACGCAGGGGGCUAGCGUUGUUCGGAUUUACUGGGCGUAAAGCGCACGUAGGCGGAUCGUUAAGUCGGGGGUGAAAUCCUGGAGCUCAACUCCAGAACUGCCUUCGAUACUGGCGAUCUUGAGUCCGGAAGAGGUGAGUGGAACUCCUAGUGUAGAGGUGGAAUUCGUAGAUAUUAGGAAGAACACCAGUGGCGAAGGCGGCUCACUGGUCCGGUACUGACGCUGAGGUGCGAAAGCGUGGGGAGCAAACAGGAUUAGAUACCCCGGUAGUCC